CAACAGCUGUAGCAAAUUUGUUUCAAAUCGAUUAAGCGGUUCACGCUUAAUUUUGAGCCUCAGACGUUUAGAUGUUCACCACUUUGAAUCAGGGUGGAUGACAUCAUCACAAACUAUGCCAUUGGGGUGUCCCCGUGUGUUACUCACUACAACUGUACCAAAUUUGGUUCAAAUCUAUUAGACGGUCUGCAAGUUAGCCCACUUGUACUUUGGACAUUCAUGCAUCCACCAUCUUGAAUCGGGGUGGAUGACAUAAUCACAAAAUAUGCCUUUCCCUAUGUGUCUCUACAGUUGUAGCAAAUUUGGUUCAAAUUGGUUAGGUGGUUCACAAGUUAGCCCACUUGUGCCUCAAAUGUUUAUGCAUCCACCAUCUUGAAUCAGGGUAGAUGACAUCAUCACAAACUAUGCCAUUCAGGUGUCCCUACAACUGUACCCAAUUUGGUUCAUAUUGGUCCAGGCAUUGCAAAAUUGAUACAGACACACACACACACAGCCGGGUGAUACUGGAAAGUAGGCUAAAAAUAGAUGUUUCAGCUCUUCAAACCAAAGUGAUUGAUUUAGAGAAGAGGCAUUGGGAUGGGGGGACUGAAAAAUGUGGAGUACCAGAGAAAUCAAAAUGGGAUGCCCCCUUGCAGUGGUAUAACAAGCUCGGGAGGGGCCUGUGUGCAAUAAUUGAACAUGGGCCCCAUCAGAUAAUUUCCCCAUAAGGAUCAAUUGGAAACUCAGAAAGAUUAAUAACUCUGGAAAUUAUCAGCAAACAAGAACUCCUAGGAUAAGAAUGGUAUAAAACACACAUUUGUCAUGAAGAUAGAUGCCCUCUAGCUAUGUCUCUCCCAGAGCUGAAGGGUGGUGCUUUGCUCCACCUCUGCAGGUGGCAAUUAUGACAUCGCCUGUGGUUUCUCUCUUAUGAUGUGCUCAUUGUCUCCUUGGUGAUGGCUAAAGCUCCAUCACCAAGCUUUAGCUAUCCAGGUGUUGAGGAUGCAGGGGAAGAUGCAGCAUUUCACAGGGGCAGCUUCGUUUUCCUCCUCCUAUCCCAAGAAGAGAUGGGAUAAUCAUGGCAAAGCAGUUGUGCUCCUUUAAAAUAUACAAAUGAGUGGUAAAGCUGCCAGAGACAUUGGGGAAAAGAUACUAUGUUGCCUGGAGAAAAAUCUUCACCCUGGAAAUAGACCAACUUGAACAGGAAACUACAGACAAUGGACAACAAUAAGAAAAUCUUCAUUUUGGGAAUCAUCUGGAAAAGCUUAAAAAACACCCAUAGAUUCCAUCAGCAAAAAACUUCAGAUAUAUCAACAACACAAAGUUAAGUGAGUUAAUGCUAAAGAAAGCAGCCAUUUGAUUUACUGGCAACACCAUCAUAAUGUGCUUUGUUAGCUUGAGAAGGCAGGGGAAAGGAAGCUCUGCUGGGGCUGAUGUGCCCCAUUGUCAGCAUUGGCCCCUCCGACAUGUCUGAUGUCAGACACAGGGGAUGUAGGUUGGGGUGCAUGCGUGAUGGGUAGAACCUAGGGAGCAGGGGAGCCACCAGAGGACUUUGUCCUCUGGCCAUGGAGUUCAGCUGGGUCUCCACUUCUUCCCCCUAUUUCUUUGGCCCUUUUAAGUAUGUCCAUGUUUGCUGGAAACUGCAGAAGCUUCAAAAUUAGUCUUGGAGAUGGCUUUCCCACCUGAGGCACAGGUCUCAGGGCAGGGGUUCAGUCCAUGUUAAAUGCAAUAUUUGAGAUGUGCCGGGCUAGUGCUUUUUUUUGUUUUUACCUCUCAUUCUUUUAUUUAUGUUCCCCAGGACAGUAACAAUAUUUAUCCAAAUUAGUAGGAUUAUUUUCAGUUUCAAAUAUUUAACAUGGACUGAGAUCAUGAUCCAGCUGGGAAGGAAACAAUAAACAGCAGAGCUCAGGUGUGCAUUUCUGUGCAUACUAUUCUGAGAGGUCCUGCCAGAAAGCCCAUUUGCCACAACUUAAAGUGGACAGAUUUGCAAAUAAUCACAAAGCACCUUUGUCACAAGCACUAUGGUCAUGUGCAUCAGGCAACAGGUGAUGUCUUACUAUUAAUUUUUAAAAUGUAUAUCCCACCUUACUUUUAAAAAAACCAAGGUGGCAUACACAACAAAAUUUAAAACAUUAUACAAUAUAAUACAGAAAAAGAGACCUGUCUGAUAAGAAAAAUAGAGGGACAAGAACAUCAAAUAAGCUCAGGGAAUUCCAAAUGCAAAAGAUAGGUCUUACUGGCCACCCAAACACCCCCCCAAGUGGAGGCUAGUUGGAUCUUCCAGGAUGGGGAGUUCCAUCACGUAAGGACAGAAACCAAAUAGGCCCUCCAUUUUUUUUAGCCCACCUAGUAAAGUUCAUUGCAAUGGUAAGACUUGAAUUCAUACUUCUCAGGUCCAAGCAAUGAUAUCUCCACUGAAUAGCAUUUCUUUUGAAGUUAUAAAGCUGUAGGCCUGGUUGGAAAGAGGAAUUUAUUUGAAUUGGACUUACUAUCAAGUUCUGAAACUUUGCUUUUGCCCCAUAAUAUCCCAAGGCACCAUAAGAAAGAAUAAGAAAUACCAUACUAUUCUGAGAGAGUCUUAAUCUAUCUGUUAGUCUGAACAAGUGAUUUAAUUAUUGGGUUCCUAAAAACCAAAUAAGAUGUUUUAUUUGCCACAACCUCUAAAAUAUUUUUAAAUGGUGCAUUCUUUUAGGCAGCAAACAAUCAAAUUGGCUGAACUCAAUGAGAAACCUAACUGUUUGUUCAAAAAUUUCUAUUGAAGUGCAAACAGUCAUAACACCAGGACUAUUAAUUUGUUUUGAAGCAGACAAACUGAAACCCAUUCCGAUACACAGAAUUAGAGAAAAGAAAUAUUGAGAUUGGCAAAAUGUUUAAGUGAACCCAAAUGUCACAACAUGUUUUUAUAUAUCACCGACCUUUGUGCUCAGCAGGCAGAAAUAAAGUGGUGUAACUUGAA